ACGAACGCUGGCGGCAGGCUUAACACCUGCAAGUCGAGCGGGCCCUUCGGGGUCAGCGGCAGACGGGUGAGUAACACGUGGGAACGUACCUUUUGGUUCGGAACAACUCCGGGAAACUGGAGCUAAUACCGGAUAAGCCCUUAGGGGGAAAGAUUUAUCGCCAAAAGAUCGGCCCGCGUCUGAUUAGCUAGUUGGUGGGGUAACGGCCCACCAAGGCGACGAUCAGUAGCUGGUCUGAGAGGAUGAUCAGCCACACUGGGACUGAGACACGGCCCAGACUCCUACGGGAGGCAGCAGUGGGGAAUAUUGGACAAUGGGCGCAAGCCUGAUCCAGCCAUGCCGCGUGAGUGAUGAAGGCCUUAGGGUUGUAAAGCUCUUUUGUCCGGGAAGAUAAUGACUGUACCGGAAGAAUAAGCCCCGGCUAACUUCGUG
rnacentral:rRNA from 1 species